GGGGGCAUGGUGAAAUUGGUAAACACAGCAGACUUAAAAUCUGCCGCCGUCAGGCUUCCCGGUUCAAUUCCGGGUGUCCCCACCA
rnacentral:tRNA from 3 species